ensembl:lncRNA
CUGUAAGAUAAACACGCAUUGUUUUAAGCCACUAAACUGUGCUAACUCGUUACUGUAGCUGUAGGAAACUAACACAAGAGCUUUUCCUUUUAGCUCACACUGCUCUUUCCUCUCACAUCCAGCACUGAUUUGGGCAUGGAUAUUUUCCUUGCUCAUCUCUCCAUUAGACUUGCAGCUCCUUGGAGACAGUUUCUCUCUCCUUUACACUAGUUAAUCCAAUACCCAGCAUUGCUUAGCAUCUCGUCAACACCCAUUCAUCCAUUUUUUUAAAGUAUGAAUGAAAGAUAGACAAAGGUGUUGCUUCCCCCUCUUACAGGGGAAGAAGGGCAGCUACCAUCAUACCAACCAACACAAGCGGCACGUGGAAACUAACAGAUUUCAAAGAAUCAGUUUCUAACCAGAAGGAAGUCUAUGGGAAUAUGCUGAACUGUGAAGUUUUCAAAAUAUCUUGUCUAGAUAUUUCUUUGUGGAUAUCGGAAAUAAUAGAUUCAUCGACAGAAGAUUGCAAUAAG